rnacentral:tRNA from 3 species
GCCGCUUUAGCUCAGUUGGUUAGAGCAACUGUUUUGUAAACAGUAGGUCCACGGUUCGAAUCCGUGAAGCGGCUCCA